AUGAGGAGUGGAAAUUGCAAACAACCUGACAAGAUAGAGAAUAAAACUGUUAGCUUCAGACAUCUAGGUGCUCCAUGGUUCUCACCUAAUUGUCUACACUACUCUGUAAGCCUUGCCCAUGUAUGUUGUUUUGGCUUUCACCUUCAGAUGAUUUUCCUUGUUAAUUGCACUUUGCAGAUUCCUAAAAUAAGUGUGUAUCUCAGUAGUUAUAUUUCCCAUUAUUCCCAUUUGUUCUUAGGUUUCAAAGAAACUCCAACUAGUUUUUGCUUUGCCAAAUUGCCCGAAGCCAAGCAUCCUUUCUUGAUAUAA
rnacentral:rRNA from 1 species